rnacentral:rRNA from 1 species
UGGGGAAUCUUGCNCAAUGGGGGAAACCCUGACGCAGCGACGCCGCGUGCGGGAUGGAGGCCUUCGGGCCGUGAACCGCUUUCAGCAGGGAAGACAUUAAGGACGGUACCUGCAGAAGAAGCCCCGGCUAAACUACGUGCCAGCAGCCGCGGUAAUACGUAGGGGGCGAGCGUUAUCCGGAUUCAUUGGGCGUAAAGCGCGCGCAGGCGGCGCACCAGGCGGGAUCUCGAAACCGGGGGCUCAACCUCCGGGCGGAUCCCGAACCGGUGUGCUCGAGUGCGGUAGAGGAAGUCGGAAUUCCCGGUGUAGCGGUGAAAUGCGCAGAUAUCGGGAAGAACACCGAUGGCGAAGGCAGACUUCUGGGCCGACACUGACGCUCAGGCGCGAAAGCUGGGGGAGCGAACAGGAUUAGAUACCCUGGUAGUCCCAGCCGUAAACGAUGGGCACUAGGUGUGGGGGGCAUUUGCCUUCCGUGCCGCAGCUAACGCAUUAAGUGCCCCGCCUGGGGAGUACGGCCGCAAGGCUA